UACGUAGGGUGCAAGCGUUGUCCGGAAUUAUUGGGCGUAAAGAGCUUGUAGGCGGUUUGUCGCGUCUGCUGUGAAAUUUCGGGGCUCAACCCCGAACUUGCAGUGGGUACGGGCAGACUAGAGUGUGGUAGGGGAGACUGGAAUUCCUGGUGUAGCGGUGAAAUGCGCAGAUAUCAGGAGGAACACCGAUGGCGAAGGCAGGUCUCUGGGCCACUACUGACGUGAGAAGCGAAAGCAUGGGGAGCGAACAGG
rnacentral:rRNA from 1 species